rnacentral:misc_RNA from 1 species
UCUCCGUUGGUGAACCAGCGGAGGGAUCAUUACUGAGUCUAACAAACUCCCAAACCCCUGUGAACAUACCUACUGUUGCUUCGGCGGGACCGCCCCGGGCGCCUUCGCGGUGCCCCGGAACCAGGCGCCCGCCGGAGGCCCCAAACUCUUAUGUCUUUAGUGGUUUUCUCCUCUGAGUGACACAUAAACAAAUAAAUAAAAACUUUCAACAACGGAUCUCUUGGUUCUG